rnacentral:rRNA from 1 species
AGAUUGAACGCUGGCGGCAGGCCUAACACAUGCAAGUCGAGCGGAUGAGAGGAGCUUGCUCCUCGAUUCAGCGGCGGACGGGUGAGUAAUGCCUAGGAAUCUGCCUAGUAGUGGGGGACAACGUUUCGAAAGGAACGCUAAUACCGCAUACGUCCUACGGGAGAAAGUGGGGGAUCUUCGGACCUCACGCUAUUAGAUGAGCCUAGGUCGGAUUAGCUAGUUGGUAGGGUAAAGGCCUACCAAGGCGACGAUCCGUAACUGGUCUGAGAGGAUGAUCAGUCACACUGGAACUGAGACACGGUCCAGACUCCUACGGGAGGCAGCAGUGGGGAAUAUUGGACAAUGGGCGAAAGCCUGAUCCAGCCAUGCCGCGUGUGUGAAGAAGGCCUUCGGGUCGUAAAGCACUUUAAGUUGGGAGGAAGGGCUCAUAGCGAAUACCUGUGAGUUUUGACGUUACCAACAGAAUAAGCACCGGCUAACUUCGUGCCAGCAGCCGCGGUAAUACGAAGGGUGCAAGCGUUAAUCGGAAUUACUGGGCGUAAAGCGCGCGUAGGUGGCUUGAUAAGUUGGAUGUGAAAUCCCCGGGCUCAACCUGGGAACUGCAUCCAAAACUGUCUGGCUAGAGUGCGGUAGAGGGUAGUGGAAUUUCCAGUGUAGCGGUGAAAUGCGUAGAUAUUGGAAGGAACACCAGUGGCGAAGGCGACUACCUGGACUGACACUGACACUGAGGUGCGAAAGCGUGGGGAGCAAACAGGAUUAGAUACCCUGGUAGUCCACGCCGUAAACGAUGUCAACUAGCCGUUGGGAUCCUUGAGAUCUUAGUGGCGCAGCUAACGCAUUAAGUUGACCGCCUGGGGAGUACGGCCGCAAGGUUAAAACUCAAAUGAAUUGACGGGGGCCCGCACAAGCGGUGGAGCAUGUGGUU